CUACAGGCUUAACACAUGCAAGUCGAGGGGCAGCAUGGUCUUAGCUUGCUAAGGCCGAUGGCGACCGGCGCACGGGUGAGUAACACGUAUCCAACCUGCCGUCUACUCUUGGACAGCCUUCUGAAAGGAAGAUUAAUACAAGAUGGCAUCAUGAGUCCGCAUGUUCACAUGAUUAAAGGUAUUCCGGUAGACGAUGGGGAUGCGUUCCAUUAGAUAGUAGGCGGGGUAACGGCCCACCUAGUCUUCGAUGGAUAGGGGUUCUGAGAGGAAGGUCCCCCACAUUGGAACUGAGACACGGUCCAAACUCCUACGGGAGGCAGCAGUGAGGAAUAUUGGUCAAUGGGCGAGAGCCUGAACCAGCCAAGUAGCGUGAAGGAUGACUGCCCUAUGGGUUGUAAACUUCUUUUAUAAAGGAAUAAAGUCGGGUAUGGAUACCCGUUUGCAUGUACUUUAUGAAUAAGGAUCGGCUAACUCCGUGCCAGCAGCCGCGGUAAUACGGAGGAUCCGAGCGUUAUCCGGAUUUAUUGGGUUUAAAGGGAGCGUAGAUGGAUGUUUAAGUCAGUUGUGAAAGUUUGCGGCUCAACCGUAAAAUUGCAGUUGAUACUGGAUAUCUUGAGUGCAGUUGAGGCAGGCGGAAUUCGUGGUGUAGCGGUGAAAUGCUUAGAUAUCACGAAGAACUCCGAUUGCGAAGGCAGCCUGCUAAGCUGCAACUGACAUUGAGGCUCGAAAGUGUGGGUAUCAAACAGGAUUAGAUACCCUGGUAGUCCACACGGUAAACGAUGAAUACUCGCUGUUUGCGAUAUACUGCAAGCGGCCAAGCGAAAGCGUUAAGUAUUCCACCUGGGGAGUACGCCGGCAACGGUGAAACUCAAAGGAAUUGACGGGGGCCCGCACAAGCGGAGGAACAUGUGGUUUAAUUCAAUGAUACGCGAGGAACCUUACCCGGGCUUAAAUUGCAGAUGAAUUACGGUGAAAGCCGUAAGCCGCAAGGCAUCUGUGAAGGUGCUGCAUGGUUGUCGUCAGCUCGUGCCGUGAGGUGUCGGCUUAAGUGCCAUAACGAGCGCAACCCUUGUUGUCAGUUACUAACAGGUUCCGCUGAGGACUCUGACAAGACUGCCAUCGUAAGAUGUGAGGAAGGUGGGGAUGACGUCAAAUCAGCACGGCCCUUACGUCCGGGGCUACACACGUGUUACAAUGGGGGGUACAGAGGGCCGCUACCACGCGAGUGGAUGCCAAUCCCCAAAACCUCUCUCAGUUCGGACUGGAGUCUGCAACCCGACUCCACGAAGCUGGAUUCGCUAGUAAUCGCGCAUCAGCCACGGCGCGGUGAAUACGUUCCCGGGCCUUGUACACACCGCCCGUCAAGCCAUGGGAGCCGGGGGUACCUGAAGUGCGUAACCGCGAGGAGCGCCCUAGGGUAAAACUGGUGACUGGGGCUAAGUCGUA
rnacentral:rRNA from 1 species